GGUUAACGCUGGCGGCGUGUCUUAGCCAUGCAAGUCGAGCGGACUUAUGGGGUAACUUAUAAGUCAGCGGCGGACGGCGGAGUAACACGUAGCUAACCUACCCUCUGGACGGGGAUAACCUACCGAAAGGUGGGCUAAUACCCGAUGUAGUCAUCCUGUAUAGGGGUGAUGAAAGGUGGGCUUCUGUUUACAAGCUCAUGCUGGAGGAGGGGGCUGCGGCCUAUCAGGUAGUUGGUAGGGUAAUAGCCUACCAAGCCGAUGACGGGUAGCCGGCCUGAGAGGGUGACCGGCCCGAGGGGCACUGAGAUACGGGUCCCACUCCUACGGGAGGCAGCAGGCUAGAAAUUUGGGCAAUGGGGGAAACCCUGACCCAGUGACGCCGCGUGCAGGAAGGAGCCCUUCGGGGUGUAAACUGCUGUCGUGUAGGGAGAAGGGUACUAAGGUGAACAAUCUUAGUACUUGACGGUACUACAGGAGGAAGCCCAGGCUAACCUCGUG
rnacentral:rRNA from 1 species